UAGAAGAGUUAGAAAGACAAACAUGGUGACAUUGGUCGCUCAGUAAUCAGUGUAGAUCCUGUAAUUCAAAUCAGCAGCUACAUCUGGCUACUGGGUCUCUAAAGUCACUGUCCCAUCUUUUCCUCGCAUGUGAGAAAACAAAUGGUGCAUCAGCAAGUAAGAAACUCCUCAACAAAUAUGAUUUACCCAUUUUACCUCUAAAAGCUAGAAAAACUGCUGGGAUCUUAUUAAUCGGGUAUGUUCAAUGUAUUGCUUUGCCGUCAGAAAAUUACAAGAACUUGACGUAGUCGAUGAAUAUCCAAGUUUCGGCAUGCACCUGGCAUACAAUGUAGACAUCUGUAUUUAUUAAGAAACAGCUACAUUGUCUGCUGGGUUUCAAGCUCAAUGGAAUUGUUCUCCAGUGCACUCAGUCAAAAAGAACAGGACACCGGUAAGUUGUAAAGCAUUCAAUAAUAUACAAGCUGUUAUUUAAAUUAAAUAUGCUAUGUAUCCAUAUGACAGAGGUUGAAAGUGACAUUCCAAUGCCUAAAUAAAAAAAGUUUAGUAGAUUUACCACAAAUUAAACCAUGCAUGCAUUUGAUUAAGCAUUUUUUCAUUUGCAAAACCUGCAGUUCACUUGCCUGAUGCUUUUCUAAGCCCUCCUCUGCUUCCACAGCCCAGACUUUGUGACUGUCCAAUUACAGACUUUCCAUUGCAGCUCAAUGAGACGUCUUUGCAAAGUUGUUGUUUUGAGCAAUUGCCUGCUUCUUGAGUUUAGCUCCAUUAAGUAACAAGAAGUAACAGGAGCAGUUAUUAAUUUAUAAAAGUUACAAUUUCCAUUGAAAUCUGCACUCUUUGUAAAAAAAAAAGAGGACACACUCUCUACACCUAAAGCACUUCAGCAAGCUACAGUGGGUACUGGAGUGUCCCUUUAAAAAUCCUGAAAAUGCCAGAGAAAGAUGUGCUGUGUCAUUGGGAGGUCUCAGGCUUUGUAUCAUUUUACUUUGUAUAUCGUAAUUAACUGGUUUAAUUUCUUUGUAUUAGGUUUUCAAAUGAUGAUGUACGUUUCACUAUUGCAUUAUUAAAUAAAAUUAUUCAGAAAACAUA